GCGGGAAUAGCUCAGUUGGUAGAGCAUAACCUUGCCAAGGUUGGGGUCGCGAGUUCGAGUCUCGUUUCCCG
rnacentral:tRNA from 1 species